rnacentral:rRNA from 1 species
AAGCUCGUAGUUGAAUUUCGGGGGUUAGUAGGUUGGUCAUGCCUCUGGUAUGUACUGGUCUCACUGAUUCCUCCUUCCUUAUGAACCGUAAUGCCAUUAAUUUGGUGUUGCGGGGAAUUUGGACUGUUACUUUGAAAAAAAUUAGAGUGUUUAAAGCAAGCUAACGCUUGAAUACAUUAGCAUGGAAUAAUGAAAUAGGACGUUCGAUCUUAUUUUGUUUGGUUUCUAGGAUUGACGUAAUGAUUAAUAGGGAUAGUUGGG